rnacentral:lncRNA from 1 species
AUGGACGCAGCGGAUAGGAGCUGCACAGUAUCUGUGCACUGUAGCAACCACCGCGUCAAGAUGCUGGUGAAGUUCCCGGCGCAGUACCCCAACAAUGCCGCCCCUUCCUUCCAGUUUAUUAACCCUACCACCAUCACGUCCACCAUGAAAGCAAAGCUGCUAAAGAUCCUGAAGGACACCUCGCUGCAGAAAGUGAAACGCAACCAGAGCUGUUUGGAGCCUUGCCUGCGUCAGCUCGUCUCCUGCCUUGAGUCUUUCGUGGCUACCUGGUGUACUUCACAAGGCCCAUGACAAUGCACCGAGCAGUGUCUCCGACAGAACCCACUCCCAGGUGAGUCUGGAGAUACAGAGGACUCUGCAGCCACAAGGCCAGAAGGGAGAAAUCUGGAAAGGAGCACUGAGCCUAUCUUUGGACAGUUUGUUUUAGUUCUUAAGUAAACUCCUGGUAAGAUUCAUUCAAGAAAGAUCAAGGUUCAUUAGAUUGAAGGAAAGCUGAGACUUCUGCUGUAAGGUAACUAUCAAACCACAUGGAGUAGCUUGAUGAAAGCUGUUAUCGAAAUAAGGGAAUUUUUUUUUCCUUUGCAGUACUGGGGAUUGGACCAAAGUUUUUCAUUUUAAGACGGUCUCACUAAGUUCCCCAGACUGUCUUUGAAUUUGUGACUCUCCUGCUUCAGCCUUCUAAGUAGCUGGGAUUACAGGCCUGUGCCACUGUACCGUACCUGGGUGGCAAAUUAUUUUUUAAUGUGCUUUUCUCCUCUUGCUAAAGGGUUACUCAUUUUUUUAUUAUUUAUUUUAAUUGUUUAAUUUUAAAUCAAACUGAAAACAUC